GACGGGGGGGGCAAGUGUUCUUCGGAAUGACUGGGCGGAAAGGGCACGUAGGCGGUGAAUCGGGUUGAAAGUGAAAGUCGCCAAAAACUGGCGGAAUGCUCUCGAAACCAAUUCACUUGGGUGAGACAGAGGAGAGUGGAAUUUCGUGUGUAGGGGUGAAAUCCGCAAAUCUACGAAGGAAGGCCAAAAGCGAAGGCAGCUCUCUGGGUCCCUACCGACGCUGGGGUGCGAAAGCAUGGGGAGCGAACAGG
rnacentral:rRNA from 1 species